rnacentral:rRNA from 1 species
GACGAGCCUUGCUAACGUUAUUCGGAAUCACUGGGCUUAAAGGGUGCGUAGGCUGCGCAGAAAGUUGGGUGUGAAAUCCCUCGGCUUAACCGAGGAACUGCGCCCAAAACUACUGUGCUCGAGGGAGACAGAGGUGAGCGGAACUUAGGGUGGAGCGGUGAAAUGCGUUGAUAUCCUAAGGAACACCCGUGGCGAAAGCGGCUCACUGGGUCUCUUCUGACGCUGAGGCACGAAAGCUAGGGUAGCGAACGGG